rnacentral:pre_miRNA from 1 species
UUAACUCAAAUUUGUAUGAAGUUGGAACGUUUGACUACGUUUGCCGCUAGGGGCACUAUUCCAUCCAGCUUCAUACAAAUUUCAGGUA